AUGAAGCCACGAUGGGAUGCCAUCACACCACAACAAAGCAACUAUAACAUGACAACAGGUGGGACUCUUGCUCCACCUCUCCCCCACAACUAGACACCCUAUAGGCAAACACACGCAUACGUAAGGCUUUUUACAUACCUCCCAGCAACGCAUCCGUCACCAGCAUCGCACGGACCGGCACGGGUCCACACGUUGAAGGAGGCAGAGAAGGCGGCCCUAGACAAACAGGGAUUACAAUCGCUGCCGGUGAAGAAAGUGACGCGCACCUGCUGAGGGCCGGCUCUGGGCUCUCGCGGACGACAAAGACCUGGUCCAGGUGCUGCAACAGAGACAGGGAGGUAAGACUGGGCUUCAUCUAUACCGGGCAACUUUCUGUAUUGUCUUUCAGUGUUGAUGUGAUUGUGUAUGUUGUUCUCUACCACUCCGAAUAGUUGAGCCCAACAUUGUGCUACUUACUGAUAUUUAUUAAUACUAUUUAAAAAAGAAAAAGGAAAAAAAAAAAAGGUGAAAAAUGGUAAGUUUGCAGAAUAGAUUUGAUGUUUGAGUGCAACAAAGGGACAUGAUGGCAGCAAGCAGUCUUAAAAUGCACACAGUUCACAGCACAAACCCCACACUAAAGAGAACAUUAGCCAAAACAUAUUUCAAAUUAAUACAGUCCGUGCACCGCUUAAUCACAAGAGAGGGAUGCCUUGAAAAGGGAGAUUUACCUAAAAGUGUGUUGAGACAGGUUACGAAAUCAACCUAAUUUUAAAGUUUCAACACCACCUGCAAUUCCACACUAGAGCCAUGAGGGGACGCGAUCACACCACAACAAAGAAACUAAAACAUGCUCUGACAACAGGUGGGACUCUUGCUCCACCUCUCCCCCACAAGUAGACACCCCACAGGCGCACACAUGCACGCACAAACGCUUUUACACACCUCCCAGCAAUGCCUCCUUCACCAGCAUCGCACUGACCGGUACGGGACCACACAUGGAAGGAGGCAGAGAAGGCACGCCUGGACACACGGGGAUUACAAUCUCUUCUGGUGAACAAACCGACACGCACCUGGCGAGGGACAGCCCUGGGUUCUCGAGGACUACAAAAACCUCCAGGCGCUGCAGCAGAGACUGGGGGCAACGCAUCCGUCACCAGCAUCGCACGGACCGGCACGGGUCCACACGUUGAAGGAGGCAGAGAAGGCGGCCCUAGACAAACAGGGAUUACAAUCGCUGCCGGUGAAGAAAGUGACGCGCACCUGCUGAGGGCCGGCUCUGGGCUCUCGCGGACGACAAAGACCUGGUCCAGGUGCUGCAACAGAGACAGGGAGGUAAGACUGGGCUUCAUCUAUACCGGGCAACUUUCUGUAUUGUCUUUCAGUGUUGAUGUGAUUGUGUAUGUUGUUCUCUACCACUCCGAAUAGUUGAGCCCAACAUUGUGCUACUUACUGAUAUUUAUUAAUACUAUUUAAAAAAGAAAAAGGAAAAAAAAAAAGGUGAAAAAUGGUAAGUUUGCAGAAUAGAUUUGAUGUUUGAGUGCAACAAAGGGACAUGAUGGCAGCAAGCAGUCUUAAAAUGCACACAGUUCACAGCACAAACCCCACACUAAAGAGAACAUUAGCCAAAACAUAUUUCAAAUUAAUACAGUCCGUGCACCGCUUAAUCACAAGAGAGGGAUGCCUU
ensembl:lncRNA